UUUAUCGGAGAGUUUGAUCCUGGCUCAGGACGAACGCUGGCGGCGUGCCUAAUACAUGCAAGUCGAGCGAACAGAUGGGAGCUUGCUCCCUGAUGUUAGCGGCGGACGGGUGAGUAACACGUGGGUAAC
rnacentral:rRNA from 1 species